rnacentral:pre_miRNA from 1 species
AGUGGCAGUAUUGGGUUAUAUGGUGAGUGUAUGCUUUAAUUUAUAAGAAACUACCAAACUGUCUUCCAAAGUGACUAUUAUUUUGCAUUCCCACUGGUAAU